CCUUGAAAAGGUUCUUUAAGUCUGUGAGAAAGUUUUGUGCUUCCUUAAAGAGAUUUAAUGAGUCCUUGAGGAGGAUGAGAAAGUUUUAAAGUUUCUUGAAAAGCUACUAGGAGAAAUUCGAUACUCCCAUGAAGAGCUCCAAAAAGUCCUUUAAUAGUUUCCAGGAGUCCUUGAAGAGGUUCCUAUGCUUCCAUAACAAGGUUCUAAGAGUUCUUGAGGAGGUUGAGGAAGUUCUAAAGGACCUUGAAAAUGUUCCAGGAGCCCUUGAGGAGGCUGUAAAGUGACUUGGAGGAUUAGUAGCAAAGCCCUGAUAAGACUGAUUCAAAACAGCUGACUCCAAAAAAAACAUGGUGACCGCCCACCAACAGACAGAGGCGGGGCUACAGACGGAGGGGCGGGGCUUCAGGCUGCAGAGUGGAGCUGCAGAAUAGCUGCAGCAGCUUCAGCCGAUGGACUGAGAGAGCAGUUUCUACCGGAGUCCAUGAAGGAGUCCAUGAAAGAGUCAGUGAAGGAGUCCAUGAAGGAGUCUCUGAUGAUGAAGAAUUUAAAAGUACAGACACUAACAGAGAGAGGCAUUAUGGGAGCGCGGUUCGCUCGACCCGACCUCGCCAGUCUACGCUAACGUGUCGUCACUAAGGAAACCGACCAUCCCUCAGAUCUCCGUCCCUGGCCCCGCCCUCCCCUCGUCACCUCCUCCUGACCACACCCCCUCCUCAUCUAUCUCCUCCUCCGGGAUGAUAAGCCCCGCCUCCCCCAACAGCCCCCAGGACGGCUGGCAGGUAAGCUGACCUUUGACCUCUGAACAUCUGUAAUGUUUUUG